CCCAGUUCGGAUUGCAGUCUGCAACUCGACUGCAUGAAGCUGGAAUCGCUAGUAAUCGCAGGUCAGCAUACUGCGGUGAAUACGUUCCCGGGUCUUGUACACACCGCCCGUCACACCAUGGGAGCCGGAAAUGCCCGAAGCCAGUGACCCAACCUUAGGGAGGGAGCUGUCGAAGGUGGAGCCGGUAACUGGGGUGAAGUCGUAACAAGGUAAC
rnacentral:rRNA from 1 species